CCCCUCUCCGGAUCGCACCUGGAGAGUUUCCAGUACUCUACCAGCCUUGGUUAAAGGAGGGAGAGUCAGAGGCAGAACCAUUCCAUUCCUAGCUCAGGCAGUGGCUAGUGAGCGGAAGGCAAUCUGCUACAAGU
rnacentral:snoRNA from 1 species